rnacentral:rRNA from 1 species
CUCAUGGUUUCACGGAAUUGCAAUGAGAACAAUUUAAAACCCUUAGCGAGAAUCAAGUGGAGGACAAGUCUGGUGCCAGCACCCGCGGUAAUUCCAGCUCCACUAGCGUAUAUUAAAGUUGUUGCAGUUAAAAAGCUCGUAGUUGAACCUCUGUCUGGGGCUAGUUUUGGCUUUGGUCAGGCUAGUUCUAGGCAUCCGCCUACAAGACUUAGAGGGCAUUCAGUUGUUCACUAGGAGGAGUAGGCAUUUUACUUUGAAAAAAUUAGAGUGUUUAAGGCAGGCAAUCGCCCGCAUAUAUUAGCAUGGAAUAAUAGAAUAGGACACUUUUCCAUUUCGUUGGUUAUUGGAAUCGUGUAAUGAUUAAUAGGGACAGUUGUGGGCAUUUGCAUUUAAUUGUCAGAGGUGAAAUUCUUGGAUUUAUUAAAGACAAACUAACGCGAAAGCAUUUGCCAAGGAUGUUUUCAUUAAUCAAGAACGAAAGUUAGGGGAUCAAAGACGAUCAGAUACCGUCCUAGUCUUAACUAUAAACUAUUCCGACUCAAUGUUUGACUGGCUUAUAUAACCAGUUGAGCGUUGUAUGAGAAAUCAAAGUCUUUAGGUUCUGGGGGGAGUAUGGUUGCAAAGCUGAAACUUAAAGGAAUUGACGGAAGAGCACAACCAGGAGUGGAUUCUGCGGCUUAAUUUGACUCAACACGGGGAAACUUACCAGGUUAAAACAAUAGUGGGAUUGACAGUUUGAGAGCGCUUUCUUGAUUGGUUGGGUGGUGGUGCAUGGCCGUUCUUAGUUGGUGGAGUGAUUUGUCUGCUUAAUUGCGUUAACGAACGAGACCUUAACCUGCUUACUAGACUGGCGAUCAUCAAUCGUUAGCUCUUCUUAGAGGGACUUUGGUUGUUUUAACUCCAAGGAAGUUUGAGGCAAUAACAGGUCUGUGAUGCCCUUAGAUAUCCUGGGCCGCACGCGUCAUACAAUGACUAGUUCAGAAAGUUUUCUCCUGACCCGAAAGGGGAUGGGCAAUCUUGAUAAUACUAGUCGUGUUAGGGAUCGAUCUUUGCAAUUAUAGAUCUUGAACGAGGAAUUCCUAGUAAGUGCGGUUCAUCAGACCGUACUGAUUACGUCCCUGCUCUUUGUACACACCGCCCGUCGCUUCUACCGAGUGGGUGGUCCGGUGAGAUAAUUGAACUUCGCAGGUAACUGAGAGGAAAGAUUAUCAAACCUAUCCACCU